rnacentral:rRNA from 1 species
UACGUAGGGUGCGAGCGUUGUCCGGAAUUAUUGGGCGUAAAGGGCUCGUAGGCGGUUUGUCGCGUCGGGAGUAAAAACCUCGGGCUUAACUCGGGGCUUGCUUUCGAUACGGGCAGACUAGAGGUAUGCAGGGGAGAACGGAAUUCCUGGUGUAGCGGUGAAAUGCGCAGAUAUCAGGAGGAACACCGGUGGCGAAGGCGGUUCUCUGGGCAUGAUCUGACGCUGAGGAGCGAAAGUGUGGGGAGCGAACAGG